ensembl:lncRNA
AGUUGUAUAUGGAGACAGGGCCUUUAAAGAGGUGAUUAAGUUAAAAUGAGGUCGUUAGGGGAGGUCCUAAGCCAAUCUGACUGGAGCUGGAGCCCUUAUAAGGAGAGGAGAUUAGGAUGCAGAGAGAGCUAGGGACAUCACGGGCGGAACGGGGAGGAACGACCACGUGAGGACACAGGGAGGAGGCAGCUGUCUGUAGGCUAAGGAGAGAGGCCUCAGAAGAAACCAACUCUGCAAUAGUUUUAAGGUCAGGAUUUCUUGUUCCUGGAAUGUUUGGUAGAACGUGACGGUAAACCUGUCUGGUGUGGUGCUUCUAUAGGAAGGUUUUUAAAUUGUUGUUUCUGUAAUGGUAAUGUGUCUUUUUUCAUUCAUUGUUCUGGGCAUUUCUGGUCGUUUCCAUCUGGAAAUGCACAGUCAGGGCGUGGAAUGUUUGCUAGAAUUAUUUGAUCAUUUCUUCUUCACUGCCGUUGUUUUUCUUGAAACACCCAAUUGGAUAUCAAACCUCCACGUUGAUAUUCUAAUUUGCUUUGCUCAAGGGCAUUUCGUUUAUCUUUUUGGAUGACUUCCUCAGCUUGCUUCCAGUUCUACAGAAUUUACUCUUUGCCUUUAUGUUUUUGUGGUGUCCCUGAGGUCAAGUUUAAACUCAGGAAUAACCUUUCACUCUGGUCUUCUUUCAGGGUGCCAGUGGGGUGGGGACCUGGCUUCACGGAGUGAGGCAGAUCUGUGGGCUCAAAUGCGCCUUUGCAGGACUCACAGCUGUUCUGUGUUUUCAGUCUCUCCUGGUGCAGAGGGUCACGUGCCUCACUUCCCAGCCUGAUGAGAGUUGAGUGGGAAUCAGCCUGCUGCCUUUCCCCACCCUAGAACUUGGGCUUCAGCUUUCUCUGUUCUGCCACAUUAAUUGUCACUUCUCUAUCCACUUGCUGUUUUCCAAAACGGUUGAUCUCUCCUAUGCUGGUGUCUCUAAUUCUGUCUUCGUGGUCUCUUUUUAUUCCCUUACUGGCCAGUGGAGGUGCAGGAGUUGAUCUUGUUACUUCUACAGUAAUACAAGGUAAAAAUAGAUAUUCUGGAAUUAGGGAAGGAAAUUCCUCACCUCAACUACAUAAUAUAUGGUAUUGGGAAAAUUAUUUCAUCUGUGAUUUUGCAGUGAGGUUUCAGCAUGUUGAUCACGGGGCCAGGUGGAUUUGUUAAUUUGUCUUCCCACACUCAGAGCUGACCAGAUCAGGAGGUAUGACCAGACAGGCGGAGACGUUGUUAGCAUUUGCUUCCUGGAGAACCCAACCUGCCACAACAGGAAACAUUUAGAUCCUACAAAGUCAGCUGGGAAGAGAAGGAAUUCAGAAAAAAGAAUGAAACACUGAAAACUGUAUAUCAAAUAAGAAGAAUGAUGUGGAUUGUCGACUGGGAGACUAUAAAACCCAUCACUGAGCUCUUCAGGUCACAGGCUAGAAACUGAUUGCUGCACUCACCUGUGACCGCCCAGCUCAAGACAAUAGACUUGCCUCCUGCUACGCCCAUGAAGAUAGCAGACCCACUACCUGCUGUGUCCAUCAAGCGCUGUGCAGACAGGGCAAUCUUGUGACUAUUGUGGGAGGGACAUUUCAAUCAUAGUGAAACACCCUCUUUGAGGGUAUAUAACCCACCUAUGUACCCCCAUUUCUUUGGAGUGCUCUGUUCCUUUGUGGAAAGACUCUCCCGGGUUAUAAUCCUAAGAUUUAAGCUCAGAAUAAACUCACCCAAAUUUUCAUUUACAGAUUGGUUAUGGAUUAUUUUCGUCGACAGAUCUUCCAAUAUGAGUAAGCAAAUGCCCACAUAUGGUUUAUCUCAGUCUCCAAAGCAUCUUUAUGCUCUAAAGGGCAUUUUUUUCACUUUCUGAAAGGAAUCACUGUCAAGGAACAAUGCAUAUUUUACAGUUGAAGAUACAUAGCUGAUUCUUCUGGUUUCCCAUUCU